GGACACAACUGAGCCAGCUGUCUGAACUUAGUGUCUUUGUAAAUGCUAACUAGCAUAAAACAUAUACCAUCUUAUAACAUCUCAUAGCCAAGGCAUCAUAGCAUAGUCAUCAUGCAAUAACACACGCCCCAAACUGAUACUGCAGCACCUCUCCUGUCCUGACACGACUGGAAACUUGGAAAGAAGCCUCAUAUUGUGAUGUAAGGAAGUGAUAUCUGAGGAAAUGAGGAGUACAGGAUACAGCUCUGAAUCUCUGCACUUAUGCAUCCGCUAAAUCCUACCUGCAACUCCUAAACCACAUUGUCCUGCAGUUCCUGACCAUGCUUCCUGAAUCGUCCUUUGUGAUAUCUGUAGUGUCCGUUUGCUUUCUCUACACCUUCCAGGACUUUCCUUUUCUUUUCCUUUGAAACAACUAUUCAUCUACAGCCAAGAGAGACCUCCCGUUUAUCAGGACGGGCCAAUAACCCUAUGUGCAGUGUUCAAGUUCAACUAUUAAUAUAAAAUUCAGAACAACAGGAUUAACGAGGCUCCCACACCCAUAUACACCGAGUGAGGUGUGAUGUAAGAUUCAGCUGGGAGAAGCCUUUGAAAGUCCCAGGAGUGAAGAAUGAGUAGCUGCAGUUGUCUGCGCCCAGAGACUGACUCAGAGGAUGAGUAUAAAGAGAGCACAGAGAAAAUACAAAAGGUGCCAGAAGAGGAAGCGGUGGACGAGGUGGAUGGAGAUGUGAUCCUGGCUGCAGCUGUGGUGGCACAAAAAUCUCAGAGCAAUCAACGAGAACGUGAAAAGGAACGUCAGAAAAUAAGGGAUCGAGAACGAAAGAGAGAAAAUGAAAGACAGAAGGAAAGAGAGAGAAACACGGAGAGAGACAGAGAAAGGAGGAGGCAAAGAGAAAGACAGAGACAAGCUGAGAAACAGAGACAGAGACAAACAGAAAAAGAGAGGAAGAAAAAAAGGAAGUAGGAUGACAUUUUAGUUUGUGUAGCUCAUUCUAGCAACACCUGUGUUACUCCUUAUUACACAUCAUAGCAGAUCCACAUUCAUGCCUAUCCAUCUUACUAUAAAGUCCAUAGAUAGUCCCUCCCAACCCUAAGGACUUAUAUAAUUAAUCAUAUUACUUAAGUUGCUGAGUGAUUGUUGUCCCUUAUUGGACAAACCAUUUGUAUAAAGCCAAUUGUACAUGCCCCAGUGUAAGUGUGCAUGGCAGAGUGCUGUUCUUCCACAUUUCUUAGCAGUAUAAAUAUCCCAACUGUCUGGCCUUAAAUUGUCUCUUCUUGUCAAUCUUGGCACCCAUUUGCCCACCUCUGUGACCCUCAGUUAAAUGAAAUGAGGAUCCAGCUCAUGCACAUUCUCAUUGUUCUAGAGGACCCCGUCCAUCCUUAGUGUUUCAUAAGAGCUCUAUGGGUCUCUGCCAUGCAGGUAUUCUUUAACACUAUGGACAGAUUGUUGUGUGCUGAUGAGAAGCAAAAGAAGCAAGUUGGAUAAUUUUCUUGUGGGACCUUUUAUUUCGGGCACAGAAUAGGUUGGGAAGGGCUUAAACAAAAGUGCAUGUAUUUUGCCGAAUAUCAUUUAUGCUUUUAAAAAUACCUGUAAUCUCUGUAAGAUCCACGUUACAGCCUCUCUGUAUAGCAUCCAUAUUUCUGUAAAAAACGAAUAAAAUGUCACUAUUAUGUUAUCUCUUA